CGCCCCCAUCCCCGGCGCCCGCUCACCUGCCGGAUCCCGCGCUGCGAGCUGCAGCCUAGGCCGGGAAGUGCCCGAGCCCCGGCUCCCGGAAGCUCCUCGGCCGCCGCCCUCAGGCCCGUGCCCGCCCGCCCGCCCGCCCGCCCACUCGCCCCUAGCGGGCGCUCGCCGGUCCGCGUCUUCCAGGCUUCCCGGCUGUCCGAUCGCUAAACCUUCAGCUGAACCCUUACGCCAGAGCCCCCUAGAGCCGCCGUGAAUCCCUGAGCCCCGCUUUGCCCCGUCUGAGGACAAGGGAACGAGGAGAAAAUUCCUCCAGCAAGGGAGGCGCAGGAAAGUGAGGCAUUUUCCUCGAAGGUCUCUCAAGACAAUUGUAACACGACUAAUAAAAGACCCAGAAACAGAUACUGGGGUUCAAGCUUCAAGCUGAAGAUCAGAAAAGCAAAGCAGCUGGUUACUAGCUCUUACCUCUACCUCAGAUGGAAAUGGAGGAUCCUGUCUUCACGAAUCCUCAGAGUACAAUGCAGACUGCACUGCUCUCUAACAAGACUCAGACUACAGUCCUCUGAGUUCCUGUCUCCUCCAGCCUUCUAUUUCUCUCUCUGCCCAGCCAUAUCACCCCUGUCUCCACCUCCCUCGUGCUAGGAUUUAAGGCCUGUGAUCCCAAGUGCUGAGAUCAUCUUUGUGUUUCUCUUUUAGACUGGAUCAAUUUUGUGUAGCUCAGUGUGGCCUUGAGCUAACAGAGAUUGCUCUGCCUUUGUCUCCUGAGUUCUGGGAUUAAAAGUGUUUACCAACACCGCCUGGCCUACAUAACUAACUAGUGUGACUGCUGGGAUUAAAGGUGUGUAUCAUCACU